AUUGAACGCUGGCGGCAGGCCUAACACAUGCAAGUCGAGCGGAUGAAGGGAGCUUGCUCCUGGAUUCAGCGGCGGACGGGUGAGUAAUGCCUAGGAAUCUGCCUGGUAGUGGGGGAUAACGUCCGGAAGCGGGCGCUAAUACCGCAUACGUCCUGAGGGAGAAAGUGGGGGAUCUUCGGACCUCACGCUAUCAGAUGAGCCUAGGUCGGAUUAGCUAGUUGGUGGGGUAAAGGCCUACCAAGGCGACGAUCCGUAACUGGUCUGAGAGGAUGAUCAGUCACACUGGAACUGAGACACGGUCCAGACUCCUACGGGAGGCAGCAGUGGGGAAUAUUGGACAAUGGGCGAGAGCCUGAUCCAGCCAUGCCGCGUGUGUGAAGAAGGUCUUCGGAUUGUAAAGCACUUUAAGUUGGGAGGAAGGGCAGUAAGCUAAUACCUUGCUGUUUUGACGUUACCAACAGAAUAAGCACCGGCUAACUUCGUG
rnacentral:rRNA from 1 species